rnacentral:rRNA from 1 species
AACGCGAAGAACCUUACCAAGGUUUGACAUGCAGGGAAAAGCCGUAGAGAUACGGUGUCCGUAAGGGUCCUGCACAGGUGGUGCAUGGCUGUCGUCAGCUCGUGUCGUGAGAUGUUGGGUUAAGUCCCGCAACGAGCGCAACCCUCGUUCUAUGUUGCCAGCGGGUAAUGCCGGGAACUCAUAGGAGACUGCCGGGGUCAACUCGGAGGAAGGUGGGGAUGACGUCAAGUCCUCAUGCCCCUUAUAUCUUGGGCUGCAAACAUGCUACAAUGGCCGGUACAGAGGGCUGCGAGACCGCAAGGUGGAGCGAAUCUCAAAAAGCCGGUCUCAGUUCGGAUUGGGGUCUGCAACUCGACCCCAUGAAGUCGGAGUCGCUAGUAAUCGCGAAUCAGCAACGUCGCGGUGAAUACGUUCCCGGGCCUUGUA